AUUAUAUUAGCAAAUUAGUGCAUUAAAGUUAGAAUUUAAUUAAAUUAUAGAUGUUAUAAUAUAUAAUA
rnacentral:tRNA from 1 species